rnacentral:rRNA from 1 species
GGGUUGUGAGGUUAAGCGACUAAGCGUACACGGUGGAUGCCCUGGCAGUCAGAGGCGAUGAAGGGCGUACUAAUCUGCGAUAAGCGCCGGUAAGGUGAUAUGAACCGUUAUAACCGGCGAUACCCGAAUGGGGAAACCCAGUGUGAUUCGUCACACUAUCAUUAACUGAAUCCAUAGGUUAAUGAGGCGAACCGGGGGAACUGAAACAUCUAAGUACCCCGAGGAAAAGAAAUCAACCGAGAUUCCCCCAGUAGCGGCGAGCGAACGGGGAGGAGCCCAGAGCCUGAAUCAGCAUGUGUGUUAGUGGAAGCGUCUGGAAAGGCGCGCGAUACAGGGUGACAGCCCCGUACACAAAAGCGCAUGUGCUGUGAGCUCGAUGAGUAGGGCGGGACACGUGGUAUCCUGUCUGAAUAUGGGGGGACCAUCCUCCAAGGCUAAAUACUCCUGACUGACCGAUAGUGAACCAGUACCGUGAGGGAAAGGCGAAAAGAACCCCGGCGAGGGGAGUGAAAAAGAACCUGAAACCGUGUACGUACAAGCAGUGGGAGCACCCUUUGGGUGUGACUGCGUACCUUUUGUAUAAUGGGUCAGCGACUUAUAUUCUGUAGCAAGGUUAACCGAAUAGGGGAGCCGGAGGGAAACCGAGUCUUAACCGGGCGUUAAGUUGCAGGGUAUAGACCCGAAACCCGGUGAUCUAGCCAUGGGCAGGUUGAAGGUUGGGUAACACUAACUGGAGGACCGAACCGACUAAUGUUGAAAAAUUAGCGGAUGACCUGUGGCUGGGGGUGAAAGGCCAAUCAAACCGGGAGAUAGCUGGUUCUCCCCGAAAGCUAUUUAGGUAGCGCCUCGUGAAUUCAUCUCCGGGGGUAGAGCACUGUUUCGGCUAGGGGGCCAUCCCGGCUUACCAACCCGAUGCAAACUGCGAAUACCGGAGAAUGUUAUCACGGGAGACACACGGCGGGUGCUAACGUCCGUCGUGAAGAGGGAAACAACCCAGACCGCCAGCUAAGGUCCCAAAGUCAUGGUUAAGUGGGAAACGAUGUGGGAAGGCCCAGACAGCCAGGAUGUUGGCUUAGAAGCAGCCAUCAUUUAAAGAAAGCGUAAUAGCUCACUGGUCGAGUCGGCCUGCGCGGAAGAUGUAACGGGGCUAAACCAUGCA